UCAUGCAGCACCAAUCAGAUUGCCAGCAAACUUGAACCAUAUCCAGUUAGACUAGCUGCAUGGAACUAUAAUUUGCAUGGAACUAUAAUUGUCAUAACACAUUAUUUAAUGACAAAACUACCUUUAUAAUUACAUAUUAUUAUUAGUUGGAUAGACUUAUUAUUAGUUGGAUAGACUAUGACUUGUCAGUAUAACAAUAACUGUAGGAAAUUGACGAACUUUUUGUCCGGUAGCAAACUGUGUUAAAAUAACAAAAGUGUUUUUGCAGUGUGUGUACAUAGCCGAAGACUACCUGGUCAAGAAGCGUACACCUGCAGCAAGGAACAUUCCUACCCUAUUGCAAGUUUUCAAAUUUAUUUUAUGUGUAGCAUGUGGCUGUGAGAGAGGCCAAAGUAUGGGGAGCAGCUGACUCCUUGAAGCAGCUGACUCCUGCCCAAAGGAAUCACAUUCAUGAUCGGGUUAUCGAAGCACUGAAAGGCAAGUCUCUUCUUGAAAACAGGUGCUACCUUGCAAGAAAAGUACAUUCCUUUUCCAUUGUUACCCUUGCAAGGAAAACAGGUGCUAAAUACUCCCCAAAGAAAGCUUCUCUCAAGAGUACUACCAGGCCUCCCACUACCAGAUUAUCCCCAAGAAAGACCUCUAAUCCAAAUACAUCUUGUAUAAAGUCAUCUAGUGCCGGUGAGGUGUUAAUUGGAUGAUGAAAUGCCUUAUUCAAACAUUGACUCGUUUUGGAGUGUGAACAAGGCUCUGGUUGACAGUAUAAAGUGACGCUGUCAUUCUGAUUCAUCAGGGAGGGAAAGGGUCAUACUUAAAGAAAGUUAAAGGCAGGUAUGUACAGCCGCAUUGACUUUGAGGAUAUUUUCUUGCCUGAGAAGAUAGAUGCUGAUGCUGAGACCAGCCGAGCUGAGAAGUUUUCUUUCAGUGAAUUGGAAGAGGAUGAUAUAUUUUUAUGGAAGACUGAAAGGCUUCGUCACUCAUAAUGAGCAAGAAGGCAAGAAGAAAACCUUAUAUAUAGCUAGCUAGCUAUACUGUGUACACAAUGUCCAUUUUUUUGAGUCUGUUCAAUUUUCAUUUUCAAAUCCAUUUUAGCAACCAAUUGAAUUCAGAUGGUAAAUAUAUAGUAUAGUGUAUAGCUAAUUUUCAGAUGGUAGUCAUACUUUGCAUCAGUUGUGUGUGCAUAAGCAAUUAAAAAC